UAUUAUAAUAUUAAUAAAGGUUCGCCUUUGGGACAGUGUGGAAGUGUACAUUAAAAUAAUUUUGUUUGCAGAAUGUAAGUAAAUUUUUGUAUUGAUUAUU